rnacentral:rRNA from 1 species
GACCCUUCGGGGUUAGCGGCGGACGGGUGAGUAACACGUGGGCAAUCUGCCCACCAGACUGGAAUAACACUCGGAAACGAGUGCUAAUGCCGGAUAACACUUCGGAAGGCAUCUUCUGAAGUUGAAAGAUGCAACUGCAUCACUGGUGGAGGAGCCCGCGGCGCAUUAGCUAGUUGGUGAGGUAACGGCCCACCAAGGCGACGAUGCGUAGCCGACCUGAGAGGGUGACCGGCCACACUGGGACUGAGACACGGCCCAGACUCCUACGGGAGGCAGCAGUAGGGAAUCUUCCGCAAUGGGCGCAAGCCUGACGGAGCAACGCCGCGUGAGCGAAGAAGGCCUUCGGGUUGUAAAGCUCUGUUGCUCGGGGAGAGUGACAAGGAGAGUGGAAAACUCCUUGAGAGACGGUACCGAGUGAGGAAGCCCCGGCUAACUACGUGCCAGCAGCCGCGGUAAUACGUAGGGGGCAAGCGUUGUCCGGAAUCACUGGGCGUAAAGCGUGCGUAGGCGGUUCUGCAAGUCCGGGGUGAAAGGCCAUGGCUCAACCAUGGA